GAGACUGAAAGUGAAAGACACUUGUGGAUUCCGCGUCGCUCGCGGGCAGCGAGACCCCGGGUCCGCGUGGACUCGGGCACCCGCGGCUCGGAGGCCUCCCCAGAGUCGCCCAACCUGCCCCCCCGCCCGCCCCACUGAAGGGCCGACAGGCUCCAUUAUGGCUCAGCAUGGCACUGCUCCCAGCCCACAGACUGAAGCAGACACCUAAUCACAAUUGCUACCUAACCACGACCUUCUUAUCUCAUUGAGGACUCUGAGAGG